GGCCUAGGGGCGGCGGGGAAGAUUUGGGGCCUGCGACCUGCCAGGUGUCCCCAGGCCAUUGUUCAGCUCGCCGCGCGCUCCCGAGUUCCCGAGGGCGCCCCGGGACGCGAGGAGAAAGCAGCCCGACUCAGCCCCGAGAGGUUCGGUGUGCGGGCAGCGGCCAGGGACUUUGCGGGGUAGCGCGGACUCCUGGACUUCCAACAAGGGCCGCUGCGCAGGCGCUGCAAUCACUGCAGGCACUUGUCUGCAUGCCUGGUGGGGCUUGGAGUCUGGGGAGGCUUAUCAGUAAAGCCCAGAGCAUUUGCUAUUUAUUGCUCAAGGGGCACCUUUGUACAGUCUGGCCGUUUGCUUGGCAUGGCCUCUUAGAACUCCUUAUUGUUUAAGAAAUCCGAUCUGGUGAAUAAGAAGUUAGUCUUUCUCUCCCAGUCACUGCCUCCUGGACGAAUAUUUGCCAGCACGGAGGCAGAGAGGACAGAAAACCACAAGCCAUUUGGGGAACUGGGAACAGUUCAGUGUUUCUGGGGUGUGGGGGUGUCAAGGUGGGGGAUGGGGUUGAUGGAAAACAUUUGCAAUUUCUGCUUUACCUCACGAUUCCCAGCUCUGACCUCUGGACCUGUUCUCUCCCACCCCUAACAUAAAUCAUUUUAGUUUCAUUCAGUGUGCGUUUCCUAAUAUUUUUAGGGUCUCAUGGCCAUUUUAGAAUCUGAUAUGGAUCUUCUAGAAAGUGCAGGUGGCCAUAUGCACCAAAAUCAGCCUGGGAUUUGAGUCUCAUGGGUCCCUGAACUUCGACUUAGAGGGGCUGUGCUAAUGCUUGUAUGGCUGCUGUAUGACUUAUGUUGGAACCCCCACCUGCAAAAAGUGACAGGACUGAAGAUACCCAGUCCAGGGGCCCUCCCGUUUCUGCGUUUGCUUGAAUUUUUGGAGAAUGGCCCAUCCUUUGACAGCUCUGAGGCUCCCUGUGGUUGGUGACUUGUCAUGACACAUUUGCUCUUCCACAGCCCUCAUCAAAGCUGAGACAAAUAAUCGGGUGCUUCCAAAGGUUUUUUAAAAGUGGGUAAAAUUCAAUAUAACUGUCAACCUCUGAGCAUGAGAUCCUAAGAAUUUAAUCACUCCUGAUAGGAGAAGUAAACAUAGCACCAGGGUGACAUAACAGUUUCCCUGGGCUCUCCAGAACUCGAGUGUGAAUCAUUCUCUCUGACCUAAUUAAUGCUGUUCACAGGGCCAUGACUGGCUCUGAGUGAGGACUGGGUUUGGGACAGCAACCCCAUGUGUCCUGUGCACCCAUUGUGGGCUCAGACACUAUGCUAGUGCUUUACAUUGGGGAUCCCAUGCAAUUCCCCCAGCACUCCUGGGCAGUUGGUGUUACUGCUUGCAUUUUUUAAAAUUUCCAUUUUUAUUUUAAAUUUAGGGGAUACACGUGCGGGUUUGUUACAAUUGUACAUUGUGUGGUACUGAGGUUUGGGAUUGAUCCUGUCACCCAGAUGGUGAGCAUAGUACCCAAUAGGAAGUUUUUCACCCCUCGCCCCGCUGUCUCCCUCCCACUUUUGAAGUCCCCAGUGUCUAUUGUUUUUAUCUUUAUGUCUAGGUGAACCCGAUAUUUAGCUCUUUUGCUUGUAAGCGAGAACAUGUGGUGUUUGCUUUUCUAUUUCUGCAUUAGUUCGCUUAGGAUAAUGGCAUCCAGCCACAUCCAUCCUGCUGCAAAGGACACGAUUUUAUUCUCUUUUAUGGCUGUGAGUGCUUGCAUUUUACAUCAGACACAGGUGUCCAUUGUCAGCGUCCUCCCCUCAGAAGGGGAGGGUCCAUUGUCAGACCCCUCAGAAGGAGGGGUCACCUUUU
rnacentral:lncRNA from 1 species